GUGCGCAAGCCAGACACCCGUGGGUGAGAAGGCCUUGGGAGAAUGACGUGUACCAUCGUAGAUUUCUGAUGUAACAGCUGAGGAGAAUUAAAACACAUAUACAAAGAACAAGACAACAACCUCUGCAACCCUCUUGAAGUUUACUCAGCCAUGCUGUUCACCAAUGGGUUCCUCCACACCAUGGGAAUCAUCAGCUCAUUUGCUACCCUCCAAC
rnacentral:lncRNA from 1 species